rnacentral:lncRNA from 10 species
GGGGGAGUAGGGAGUAAAGCGUUAGGAGUGGAGAGGCGGGGACCCGAAGGACGGUUUUUCCUCCCGCUCCUAACGGAACUGCUUGGGCAGAGCUGGGAGGGGGAGCGCGCCCUUGCCCCGGAGGCGGGGCUUAGGAACGCGUAGUGCACCCUGGCGGCUAGGGUUUAGUAACUGUGGGCGCGCUGGGUUAUCUCAAUUUCCAUCAGGCCUCAGCUGAAAGCUCAUCUGCCAAAACACAUCAGCACUCAUGUAAAAUAAAAGGAGUAGGGAGGUGACUUUCUACACAAUACUGUACAGUGUUUGGCUUCCAGUUUCCCUCUUGUGUGUAACUAUUCUAGCACUUUAGGUUUUCUGAAGCAUUCCUUUAGGACUUAAAGGACAUCAUUGAAAUGUUGCUUUCCAUAGUCUGCAGGAUCCAUUUGAAGCUCUCGUUCUUCAUCAUCUGUAAGUAAAAUAAUUUUGUAUCAACAUAUUAUUUUUUAAAUCACUGCAGAAAUCCAAUUAAUGUCUCAGUUUUUCAUAGCCUUAAGGUAGUUUCCUGCUUGUUAUUUUACACCUAGUACAAAUAGUGUUCUAUUUCUUAGUUGCUUGGCUAAAGAGUGAAAAGUAUGUGGAACUAUUUUGCAAGAUUAAUUUUAACAAAUCUUUAGAAAAUAGACAUAGAUGACAGACAAACAGAAAUAGAGCCAGAUAGACAUAACUAGUAAAACUUUAGGAACGCACAAAUAUUGAGGAGUUAAUAUUUUUAUAUAAAUGUAGUCUUUUUUUUUUUUUUGAGACCGACUCUCACUCCGUUGCCUAGGCUGGAGUGCAGUGGUGCGAUCUUGGCUCACUGCAACCUCUGUCUCCCAGGAUCAAGCGAUUCUCCUACCUCAGCCUCCCAAGUAGCUGGCACUACAGGCACCUGUCACCAUGCCUGGCUAAUUUCUGUAUUUUUAGUAGAGACGGGGUUUUACCAUGUUGGCCAGGCUGGUCUCAAACUCUUCACCUCAGGUGAUCUGCCCACCUCGGCCUCCUAAAGUGCUGGGAUUACAGGCGUGAGCCACAGUGCCCAGCCUAAAUAUAUUAUUUCUAUAUAGAUGAUAUUUAGUCCUUUAAAUUAAAGCUUUGGUAGAAACAUUUCUGUACACAUUUUCAGGCUUUUAAACAUCAAUUUUUUUUUCUAAAUUAUAAAAGUAUCCAAUAUUAGUAUUUUUAAAAUUAUAAAAGACAGAAAAAUAAAAGUCACUCAUAAUCCCAACAUUUAACAUUUUAGUGAAUUUCUUUACGUCUCUGCAAAAGUAGCUUCCUCUUGGCUUCCUAAAUGGGGUAUAACAACCAAAGUUUAACCUUUUCUUAACUAAACAGAAAAAAAAGAUUACUGUUACUAAAAUCCUCAAAGCCUCUUUGAGUGGCUGUAUUAAAUUACUCCAAAUAGUGCUAUGGAGUUUGAUUUAUUUGGCUAUUACAGAUUUUUCUGGCUCUUUCUUGGCUAUGAGUUGUGAUCACUUUGCCUUCUUGUCAAUUUACCUGCCAAUAGCAAUCCUUCUUUUCUAAUUUUGCUGCAAAUUACAGGUUUUGAAAUGAGACUGCUGAAGAGGUUUUUUUGUUUGUUUGUUUGUUUGUUUUUCUGAGACAGAAUCUUGCUCUGUUGGCCAGGCUCAAGUGUAGUGGUAUUAUCAUGGCUCACUUGCAGUCUCAACCUCCCGGCCUCAAGUAAUCCUCCCACCUCAACCUCCCAGGUAGCUGGGACCACAGGUGCACGCCACCACACCAGGCUACAUUUUGUAUUUUUUGUAAAGACAGGGUUUUGCCAUUUGCCCAGGCUAGUCUGGAACUCCUGGGCUCAAGUGAUCCACCGGCCUCAGCCAAGAGUAUUAAAAUUAUAUUAGAACAAGAAUGAAAAGUAUUUUGAUGAGAGCCUUGGAGAGUCCCUUUGGAGUACAUGGAUUUUUUUUUUUUUUUUUUUUGAGAUGCAGUCUCAUUCUGUCGCCCAGGCUGGAGUGCAGUUGCAUGAUCUCAGCUCAAUGCAACCUCUGUCUCCUGGGUUCAAGGGAAUCUCCUGCCUCAGCCUCCUGAGUGGCUGGGACUAAAGGCGCUUGCCACCGCACCCAGCUAAUUUUUGUAUUUUUAGUUUCACCAUGUUGGCCAGGCCGGUCUCAAACUCCUGGCCUUGUGAUCUACCUGCCUCAGCCACCCAAAGUACUGGGAUUACAGGCAUAAGCCACCGCGCCUGGCGUAGAGUACAUGGAUUUUUAUGAUAUCUUUUGGCUUCUCUGCAGACUUAAAAAAUCACUUUUCUUACAUUCUGGGUCACAUACUAUUACCCAAUAGCUUAAUUUUUGUUAAUAUAAUUUAAAGAAAGUCAUACAUUGGAAUCUAAAUUCAUAUGUAUACUAUAGUUUUCUAAAAACUAUUACUUUAGGUAUGAGAGGUUUUAACACUCUAAAACUUUCUUCUUUCAAAAAUGCAAAACAGGCCAGGCAUGGUUGUCCAAGCUUGCAAUCCCAGCACUUUGGGAGGCAGAGGCAGGCAGAUCACUUGAGCUCAGGAGUUUGAGACCAGCCUGGGCAACAUGCUGAAACCCAGUCUCUACUAAAAAUACAAAAUUUAGCCAGGCAUGGUUGUGUGUACCUGUAGUCCCAGCUACUCAGGAGGCUGAGGUAGGAGGAUUGCUUGAGCCUGGGAGGUGGAGGUUGCAGUAAGCAGAGAUCACACCACUGCACUCCAGCCUGGGUAACAGAGUUAAACCCUAUCUCAAAAAAAAAAAAAAAAAAAAAAAAAAGUCAAACAAACCAACUUUCUUUUUCAACAACUUUCCUGUUAAACUUACAGAAAUUUUCAUUUCUAGAAUUUCAGGUAACCAUUUUGCACCUUUUUUUUUUUUUUUUUUUUGAUACAGGGUCUCAGUCCCAUCACUCAGGUUGGAGUACAGUGGCACAAUCUCGGCUCACUGCAGCCUCAACUUCCCAGGGCUCAAGGGAUCCUCCCACUUCAACUUUCUGAGUAGCUAGGACUACAGGCACACACCACAUGCCCAGCUAAUUUUUCCUUUUUUUUUUUUUUGUAGAGACAGGGUUUCACCAUGUUGCCCAGGCUGGCCUUUAACUCCUGGGUUCAAGCGAUCUGCCCACCUUAGCCUCCCGAAGUGCUGGAAUUACAGCUGUGACCACUGCACCCAGCCUACCCCAUAUUCUUAACAAAUGAUCUAUCUUUAAAUAGUAUAAUCCACUAGGUAUGAUAAUCCCAAAUCUGUCUUAAUAUGUGUUAAAGCCUGAAAUUAUAUCCAUUUCACACUUUUACUUUAUAUACAUGCUAAUCAAUUAUCAAUGAACUCUUUACUUAAAAAAAAUUAUGUAUAUAUUUUUGAGACGGAGUCUCACUGGGUCGCCCAGGCUGGAGCGCAGUGGCGCGAUCUCAGCUCACUGCAAGCUCCGCCUCCCAGGUUCGCGCCAUUCUCCUGCCUCAGCCUCCCGAGUACAGGCGCCCGCCACCACGCCCAGCUAAUUUUUUUGUAUUUUUUUAGUAGAGACGGGGUUUCACCGUGUUAGCCAGGAUGGUCUCGAACUUCUGACCUCGUAAUCCGCCCGCCUCGGCCUCCCAAAGUGCUGGGAUUACAGGCAUGAGACACCGCGCCCAGCCUAUCUUUGUUUUUAAAAGGGAAAAUAAUCACGGGUACCUCUCCAGAAAGCUCUCCUUAGGAUCCACAUUAUAGAACCUCACCUUAUGGCUAUAAACACAUCUUUUAGGACUUUAAUAUAAUGAUUAAAUUAAGAUAAGACUUAAUCAUCAUGUAGCAGUGGAUAAUUUUCUAGAAAUUUAAUAGGAAAGUUAUUGAAAGGAAAAGGUGUCUUUACUUUUUGGGAUUUUUUUUUUUUUUUUUUAGACGAAGUCUUGCUCUGUUGCCCAGGCUGGAGUGCAGUGGCACGAAUUCGGCUCAUUGCAACCUCCGCCUCCCGGGUUCAAGCGAUUCUCCUGCCUCAGCCUCUUGAGUAGCUGGGAUUACAGGCGUGCGCCACCAUGCCCG